AGCUAGUUGGUGGGGUAAAGGCUCACCAAGGCGACGAUCCGUAGCGAGUCUGAGAGGACGACCCGCCACACUGGAACUGAGACACGGUCCAGACUCCUACGGGAGGCAGCAGUGGGGAAUUUUGGACAAUGGGGGCAACCCUGAUCCAGCCAUUCCGCGUGAGUGAAGAAGGCCUUCGGGUUGUAAAGCUCUUUCAGCAGGAACGAAACGGUCGGCUUUAAUAAAGUCGGCUAAUGACGGUACCUGCAGAAGAAGCACCGGCUAACUACGUGCCAGCAGCCGCGGUAAUACGUAGGGUGCGAGCGUUAAUCGGAAUUACUGGGCGUAAAGCGUGCGCAGGCGGCGACAUAAGACAGAUGUGAGAUCCCCGGGCUCAACCUGGGAACUGCGUUUGUGACUGUGUUGCUAGAGUGUAGCAGAGGGGGGUGGAAUUCCACGUGUAGCAGUGAAAUGCGUAGAGAUGUGGAGGAACACCGAUGGCGAAGGCAGCCCCCUGGGUUAACACUGACGCUCAUGCACGAAAGCGUGGGGAGCAAACAGGAUUAGAUACCCUGGUAGUCCACGCCCUAAACGAUG
rnacentral:rRNA from 1 species